rnacentral:rRNA from 1 species
CAGCCGCCACGGUAAUACGUAGGUGGCAAGCGUUGUCCGGAAUUAUUGGACGUAAAGGGCCCGCAGGCGGUUUCUUAAGUCUGAUGUGAAAGCCCCCGGCUCAACCGGGGAGGGUCAUUGGAAACUGGGAAACUUGAGUGCAGAAGAGGAGAGUGGAAUUCCACGUGUAGCGGUGAAAUGCGUAGAGAUGUGGAGGAACACCAGUGGCGAAGGCGACUCUCUGGUCUGUAACUGACGCUGAGGAGCGAAAGCGUGGGGAGCGAACAGGAUUAGAUACCCCCGUAGUCCCUGUCUCUUAUAA